rnacentral:rRNA from 1 species
GACGAACGCUGGCGGCGUGCCUAAUACAUGCAAGUCGAGCGGACCGGAUUGGGGCUUGCCUUGAUUCGGUCAGCGGCGGACGGGUGAGUAACACGUGGGCAACCUGCCCGCAAGACCGGGAUAACUCCGGGAAACCGGAGCUAAUACCGGAUAACACCGAAGACCGCAUGGUCUUCGGUUGAAAGGCGGCCUUUGGGCUGUCACUUGCGGAUGGGCCCGCGGCGCAUUAGCUAGUUGGUGAGGUAACGGCUCACCAAGGCGACGAUGCGUAGCCGGCCUGAGAGGGUGACCGGCCACACUGGGACUGAGACACGGCCCAGACGCCUACGGGAGGCAGCAGUAGGGAAGCUUCCGCAAUGGGCGAAAGCCUGACGGAGCGACGCCGCGUGAGCGAAGAAGGCCUUCGGGUCGUAAAGCUCUGUUGUGAGGGACGAAGGAGCGUCGUUCGAAGAGGGCGGCGCGGUGACGGUACCUCACGAGAAAGCCCCGGCUAACUACGUG